rnacentral:rRNA from 1 species
AACGCUAGCUACAGGCUUAACACAUGCAAGUCGAGGGGAAACGAUAUUGGAAGUUUGCUUCCGAUAGGCGUCGACCGGCGCACGGGUGAGUAACGCGUAUCCAACCUGCCCACCACUUGGGGAUAACCUUGCGAAAGUAAGACUAAUACCCAAUGACGUCUCUAGAAGACAUCUGAAAGAGAUUAAAGAUUUAUCGGUGAUGGAUAGGGAUGCGUCUGAUUAGCUUGUUGGCGGGGUAACGGCCCACCAAGGCAACGAUCAGUAGGGGUUCUGAGAGGAAGGUCCCCCACAUUGGAACUGAGACACGGUCCAAACUCCUACGGGAGGCAGCAGUGAGGAAUAUUGGUCAAUGGACGAGAGUCUGAACCAGCCAAGUAGCGUGCAGGAUGACGGCCCUAUGGGUUGUAAACUACUUUUAUAAGGGAAUAAAGUUAGUCUCGUGAGACUUUUUGCAUGUACCUUAUGAAUAAGGACCGGCUAAUUCCGUGCCAGCAGCCGCGGUAAUACGGAAGGUCCGGGCGUUAUCCGGAUUUAUUGGGUUUAAAGGGAGCGUAGGCCGGAGAUUAAGCGUGUUGUGAAAUGUAGACGCUCAACGUCUGCACUGCAGCGCGAACUGGUUUCCUUGAGUACGCACAAAGUGGGCGGAAUUCGUGGUGUGGCGGUGAAAUGCUUAGAUAUCACGAAGAACUCCGAUUG